rnacentral:lncRNA from 1 species
CUCAGCCAUGGCAGCAUUGGCCACCUUCCUCCUUGGGCCUGAAACCUGGGAGUCCAUCCUGGACGUCGUGCCCUUGCUCGGCCCCACAUCCCAAUGCCCUUCAGGCCCUGUCCUUACUCUCUUGCAGAUCUCUCUCCUGAUCCUCCUCGACUCAGCCACAGCCGCCACCAGCCUCGGGAAGGCAUCUGCAUGGCUGCACCCGGGGGAUGGUUCCAGAACACACAGCAGACUGUAUCAGCCCCUCUUCCCUGGCCCGCAGUUCCGAGGGCAGGUGCCAGGAAGAAUCUGCGAUCAUCCCCAGAGGCCGUGGGAGGCAGGAAGUAAACUCAGGCUUUUGAGGAAAAAACAAACCAAUCAACAAAACCAAACAACAAAACAUCCUGGCCUUCAAUUCUGGUGCCACCUCGUAUCGGUGCUAUUUCUGACACUAUGUCAAAUCUCUUUGGAAUUCAUUUUCCUCAUUUCUGAGAAGGGGCCAAUACUUCCUGCCUCCAAAAAAUUGCUGUGAAAGUUUAGACGAAGCUGUCCGUGCGGUAGAUGGCACAGUCUGAUGACGCUGAGGCACUUCUCCUGUCCGUCCCUUUGAACAGUACUCUGCACUUCUCCCAACCCUCUCUUAGAUCAUUCCUUCCCUCUGUUCAUUCAUUCCACACGUGUCUGUCAUGUGCCUGCUCUGAGCUGGGGACAAUGCUGGGCGCUGGAGUGAAGAACUGGCCAGACUCAGUCUUAUCUCCCCUUGUGGGUGUUACACUUUGGAGGAGGGGAGACACAAAAAGCAAGGAACAAACAAUAUGAUAUCAGGUAGUGUUAAGUGCCAGGGGAAAAAAAAAUCAAGCAGGAUGGACGUGAUGGAGACCAGGAACUCCAUAGAGAGAGUCAUGAGAAAAAGGGUCAAUAAACGAGCCAGAGAAUAAUGAAAAUAAUUUACCGACUAUGGCACAUGCUUGUGAAGGAAGGAAGUGUGGUUGUGUGAAACCACAAGGAGGUUGAGAGGAUUUUUUUUUUUUUUUUGCUUUCUUUAGGGCCCACCUAUGGCACAUGGAAGGUCCCAGGCUAGGGGUUGAAUCAGAGCUGUAGCCACUGGGCCUCCACCACAGCCACAGCAAUGCCAGAUCCAAGCUGCAUCUGGAACCUACACCACAGCUCACGGCAAUGCUGGAUCCUCGACUCACUGAAUGAGGCCAGGGAUCCAACGUGAGUCCUCAUGCAUACUAGUUGGGUUCAUUUCCAUGGCGCCACAACUGGAACUCUGAGAGCGUUAAAUAUUUAAAAUGUCGAGGCUGUGCCUUGUGUGAUGGUAAAUAGCCUACCACCAGUGACCCAUUCUUUCCUCGUUUCUCUUUCCUGUGUCUUCAUUUCUCCCCCUCGGAGGCCCUUCCCACCAACGUUUACUCAAGUCCAAGUCUUUGCUUAAACACACCUUUCUGCUCCAACCCCAGGCUUUCCUCCAUCUCCAAUCCUACCUUACUUCUCUCAGAGAAAACUUCUAAAGAGUUGUCUCCGCUUCCACAAUUUAUUCUCCUCCUCACUUCAGUCUGGCUCCUGCCCCGAGAAGGGUCCCAGAAGCUGCUUUCUCUGAAGUCACCGUGACCUCCAUGGUCACUGAAUCCUUUGCGUUCUCACAUCCUGUCUCUUGGCCACAUUCAAUAUUAUUCUGUCUCCCAGAGUUUCCGUGUGGCUCAGUGGGUUAAGAACCCAAUAUAGUGUCCAUGAGAAUGCAGGUUCGAUCCCUGACCUCCCUCAGUGGGUUAAGGAUCAGGAGUUGCCGCAAGCUUCAGUGUAGGUUGCAGAUGCAUCUCAGAUCUGGCACUGCUGUGGCUGUGGCUGUGGCUGGGGUGUAGGCAGGCAGCUUUGGCUCCGAUUCAACCCCUAGCCUGAGAACUAUAUGCCACAGUUGUGGCGGUUAAAAAAAAAAAAUUAUUCUGUCUCCAGUUCUCAGUACAUCACCACCUCUUCAUGUUUGUUUUUUUCCCACUUGUCUGCUUACUCCUUCUUAGGCUUUUUUUCCUCUUUCUUUCCUUUUUCCUUUUUCGGGCCACACCUGAGGCAUAUGAAAGUGCUUGGUCUAGGGGCUGCGUCCAAGCUACAGGUCUAUGCCAUAGCUGCAGCAAUGCCAGAUCCAAGCCACAUCUGUGAUUUAUGCCACAGCUUCGGCAGCGCCAGAUCCCGGACCCACUGAGUGAGGCCAGGGAUCGAACCCACAUCCUCUUGGACACUAUGCUAGGUUCUUAACCCACUGAGCCACAACAGGAACCCCCCUUCUUUGACUUCUUUGCUGACUUCUCUUCUUUGUCUGGUUCCUUAAAUGUUGGGUGUCCCAAGAACCCAUCUGGGGCCCCUUCUCUCUCUGUACAUUAUCCCUCAGUAAUGGUUCCAGUUUCCCUAAUUUAUGUCCUCAGCCCAGUUUGCUCACCUGGUCUCCUGGCUCAUCUGGUCUCAGUUCAUUCCUGGACACCUCCACCUGGAAGUCCCAUGGGCAUCCUAGACUCAACAGGUCCAGAUUGGAGUUCAGCAUCAUCUACCCCCGCUCCUCCAAUCCUGCUCUUUUGUUUCUCCCAUCCCAGUGGGUUUCACUACCAUCCAGCUCUUGUACAAACCAGAGCCUUGGACUUCACCAGUUCCCCUUGACUCCUCCCCCACCCCCAUAUCUGCUGGUCAUCAGGUCCCGUCUAUUCUCUUGACUAAACUGCUCUCAGAUUUGUCCCUCUCCCAUCAUUUCCUGUGCCCUCUUCCCUAAUCCAGCAUCUCCUGCCUGGACAACCGCAUAGGCUUUUCCUCGUCUCCACCUUUGUUCCCUCUGACCCAUCCUGCACAUAGAAACCAGACGGAUCAUCCUAAAAUUCAAACCUGAUGGUAUUCCCUCUCCUAUUAAAAGCCCUUUAAGACUCUUCAUUGCCUGCAGGAUAAAAGCCAGAUUCCUUUCCUUUGCACCCAGGCCUGCGGGCUUAGUUGCUACUUAUCCUUCUGCCUUCUUCCCUCAUCUGUCCGCUUUCACUCCGUGUUUAGUCACACCAAACUUGGUCCAGGGGCUCUGACUUGCUAAGCUAGCUCUCCUCCCUCACUUGGGACAUCUUCCUUGCUCUUCCUUCUAAUGGAUGCUCUGUUCUCAUCCUUUUCCCAGUUGGCUGAACUGAGGGGUUCUGGCAGAUGAGCCAUUCCAGCUCCUCCUUCUGUAGAUGAGCCCCCUGAAGCCCAGAGAGGAAGAGUGAUUUGCUGAAGGUCACCCAUCAUGUCCAGCGCGCUUCAUACGAAGCAGAACAACCUCCCUUCUCUCCCUCCUUCGGCCACGAUGGGAGGGAGACUUGGCAUUGCCUCAGACCCUCCCCCAAAGAUUCUGCUUCUUUUUGCUGCUGGAAUCAGAAGGAUGAGCCAGUGAUGUUUGACAGUGAGCACGGAUUGCUAUUUUUAAUUGAAAUGAGCAAUACAUAAGAAGAAGGAAAGACCUCCAGAGUGUAACUGCCAAAAUAAGGAUCACCCUACUGGGAUGCUGUGUCCAUAUUCCACUCACUCAGCUCAGAGUGUUUGGAUUCUCCUGGGAAUGGCCUUCAGUGGCAGUUAACAGCAUGAGAAAUUUGCUCUUAUUCUUGUUUUUAUCCUUUAAAAUUACCUUUACAAAAAUGUUAAUAGGAAGCAGCAUUGCCCACGUUGGUCCUUGCCUGAUGGACCAUCCCUGACUCUGAAUAUGCUUUUACUCCUUUAAAAAAUCAUGGAGUUCCCAUUGUGGUGCAGCGGAAACGAAUCUGACUAGGCACCAUGAAGUUGCGGGUUUGAUCCCUGGCCUCGCUCAGUAGGUUAAGGAUCUGGCGUUGCUGUGAGCUGUGGUGUGGGUCGCAGAUGCGGCUUGGAUCUGGCAUUGCUGUGGCUCUGGCGUGGGCCGGCGGCUGCUGCUCCGAUUCGACCCCUGGCCUGGGAACCUCCAUAUGCCAUGGGUGUGGCCCUAAAAAGGACAAAAGACCCCCCCAAAAAAAAUCUGCCUCCAGCCCCCGCCCCCCUGCCCCUGCCUGGAAGGCAAACAUGCUAUCACUGGAGAUAUUGUGGGGACACACUCAGGCUCUUGGGCCUCAGUUUCCCCAUCUGAGUUGGAAGAGGUUGGACUAAAUGGCCUCGAUGAUCGGCGAAUGUUUUAGGAUUCCAAGGCCGCCAGCAUAGGGUUGCUGUUCUUGGCAUACUCUGGACAGCUUAGGUGCCAGAGAAACCCACCCACGGUCCUCAGCCAGCAUAGGGUUGCUGUUCUUGGCAUACUCUGGACAGCUUAGGUGCCAGAGAAACCCACCACGGUCCUCAGCCAGACCUUCAACCACUGGUUCACCUCCCCUCGAAUCACCUCCCCCUGCUCACGCCCCCCCACCCCCUCCACUCCAAUGUGAGUCACCCAGCUGGGGAUGAACGUGCCCUGUGGCCAUGUCCUCCUCCAUCCAUGGGCCCAGAUGGCCCACGCUUUAAGGUCUCUUAUUGAUUCUUGCAUGAUCUCUGAUCAACUAGUUUGGAUUCCCAUUGCUUUUUCUCUAUUGAUCACCUGGGUUAUAGAAGCUCAAAUGACCACUUGAUCCUGCUUCUCCUGUGAUCCAUCCCUUCACAUACUACACCUGCAGAAAAAGAGAUACCGAACCAACACAGCUACACACUCGUAACCCCGAGACGAACCCUAAAUAUCAGGGGCCCCCAAAUAAUAAACCCUUGGAUACUUCCCUUAAUCCUGGACGCUCCCUAAGAAAGACAAUUUUAUCCUUGAUUUUUGCUGUCUCAGAGGAUGCCUUCGUGAUUGUGAACCUCAUGUGAGGAAGUUGCUGUUUUCAUGCCACGAGCAGACGAAUGCAAACCCGGUGAGCUUGGUGACGUGGCAGUUGUUUUUCUUUAAGUAAUUGCUGUGCUUUGUGUUUGGGGAGCCCAUCCUUCCGAAGCUUGACUCCCUAGCGCUCUGCAAGUAAAAUGUUCUUUUCUUCUCU